rnacentral:lncRNA from 1 species
AUCCUAAGUUUUAAAUAAAAUAAAAAGAAAGUUUGAUCCAUGUCUAGGUAAUUGACAAACAUGAUAUGAGAAGGUCUGAGCUACUAUUUAACUUGUUCAAAGUUUUGCUAGAGUUCUGGAGAUUUUAUCUUUUAAAAAUCUAAAAAAAUUGAGAUCCUGUUUGACAUAAUACCUAGAGUCUUAUAAGAUAUAAAUAUUAAAACUGUGGGCACUUGCUUUGUUCAAGCCCAUUGUUAAUUCUUGUAGUUUUGGUUGAGAGAAUUAUUAUGCUCCCAAGAUCAAGAUCUUUUUGUUUUAAAAAUAUAAAAGAUUCACUCUUCCGAAGUAUUAUUGCGUUAGAGGCAUGGGACUAUGCAAAAAAUUGAUUCAAAAAAAGAAGUGAGACGAGAGGUAAAAAUGGAAAAGUGUCCGAAGUAGAAUUAGGGGUACAAAGAUACCCACCUGAGUAGAAAAAAUGGACACAUGUCCGAUAGUAUAAGGGUACUUGGUGCCCACUUAUAAAAGAAAGAAAGAAAAAAAUGAUAGCCCAUGGUCCCUCUAAUAAGCAAUAUGCCAGUAAGAGAUGACAAACUUUUCAAAAAGGUCAAAGGUCUUGAUCUAGGAGUAUGACAUUCCUCUCCCUUGCUCCGAGCAUUGACAUAGCAAAAUGCAAAGUAAGUCUGCUAAAACUUUUAAAGCUCUACUUAUAUAUCUUUCGAGAAGAAGGCAAAUGCCUCAGUUUUAUUUUUGAAACUUACAAAAAAUACUCCAGAACAAAGGCAAGAUAGAAGAACUUAAGACAUAGUGCUUGACUUGAUCGUUCUGUUUUUCAAUCACUUAAGACCUUAAAAACCCUAUAGUAAGAGGC